GGUGAGAUGCUGGAGAUGGCUACUGUACCCAGGUCACAGAGGGGCAAGUGAGGUGGCAGUGAUCUCAUACAGCUCUACCUGUAGUCAUCCUGUAUUCAAUCAACCAUGGAGCACUGUCUGCUAAGCAGGUGAGCAUUCGAGCUGAGGCACAAGAUCAUGACAUCAGCCCCUGCCUUUUUUUUACUGAGGGUCAAACUUCAAGACAUGGGUGGAUGGGUUGGCAGCAGAACACACAGGUACUGUCACCCUCCUCUGUACACACUCUCAAUAAUGAUGCUACCUGCAGUUGGGACAGAAGAUGGCCGUGUACUCUGGAGAUUCCGGUGCCUUACACUGGUAGAACUGGGAUCUGGAAGAGUCAGAGACCAGGGAACUCACAGGUAGCACUCAAGACAGCCUCUUGUAGACUUUCUGGGUCACAUCAGACUGUUUCUAGACUAAUCAGUUGUGCAGCAAAACCUAAGCGAUGCACCCAGGAAUGGCAAGGUCAAGUCAAGGCAGUCAGACUGAAAGGAAGUUAGUUCAAACAGUCCCUAGAGAGAUUCCAAGAUAAAAAAGUGUUGCCAUGGGACGGUGAGUACCUAGCAAGAAGCUGAGUCUGUAAGUGGUCUCAGCUCUGAGACCCAUGAGACAACCUGGGGGUAGGGGGGUGGGGACACUGAGUCAUCCAUAGGAGCAUAAAGCUAAAAGGUAGAACACACAGGGAGAUCUAGGAGCCCCUGUCACCUGCACAGCAAACUUCUCAUGAGACCCAGUGAAGUCUUCCCAGUAUCCUAAGGCAAGCUCCCCUUUUGGUAUGGCCUUCUCCCUGAUUAUAUUUUCCAGUGUGGCCCAAUCCUCCUGGGCCAGGCACAAUGCCUUCAUCUCUAGAAAAUCAGGUGGAAAACCAGAACAGAAUAUGUCUGUGGUGUGUGUGUAUACUAUAUAUCUUUAUCUUUUGUAUUAUUUCACAAUGCAAACCCAACAUCGGGACUCAGGUCAGGUCAGGGGCUAGAUACUGACAUGUGGCUCAACCUUAAAGCACCCCACACAUGACUAUGUUGCUCUGCCAACACAUUUAAGCACAUUGUAGAACUGCUUCCAGCCCGCCUAUGGCAGGAUAUACACAACAGCAAAAUGGUUCCGGGAGCAGUAAAGACGACGGUGCCAGUUCAAGGAGGCAAGGAAGAGCCAACUCAGACAAGAGCCACCACUUUAUGUCACACCAUUUCAAAGAUCAGAAAACACCACUCUUAUCAGAAAACCCCAGCUUUUGUUGGCACAAUUCUCAGCUCACAGGCCUUGUGGAGUCAAUACCUCAGCCCUCCCCUCCACCCCCUCUGCACACCACACCACAAGGCCUGUUGAAAUCUCCCUGCUGAGUGCUAGUGACCUUGACCUCUCUUGUAAUGAGGAAAGGAGCCUGAAGGUCAAUGUUUAUCCACCACAGAAACAAGAUGAGCCUGGGAUGAAGCAGGGCCACAUGGGGAUACCCCAGGAGAAGGAAGCAAUGACCACCAGCCCAAGCAUAAGCCACUGCACAGCAGGGCAGUGGCCCACUUAGGAUUCCAUAAUCCCCUCAAAUCUGAGGACUAAGCUGUGACAGAUUCUGAGUGUACUAUAAAAUGCCUACACCAUGAAGGCAUGCCUA